CAGCCGCCGCGGGAAUACGUAGGGUGCAAGCGUUAAUCGGAAUUACUGGGCGUAAAGCGUGCGCAGGCGGUUAUAUAAGACAGAUGUGAAAUCCCCGGGCUCAACCUGGGAACUGCAUUUGUGACUGUAUAGCUAGAGUACGGCAGAGGGGGAUGGAAUUCCGCGUGUAGCAGUGAAAUGCGUAGAUAUGCGGAGGAACACCGAUGGCGAAGGCAAUCCCCUGGGCCUGUACUGACGCUUAUGCACGAAAGCGUGGGGAGCAAACAGGAUUAGAUACCCCCGUAGUCCCUGUCUCUUAUAC
rnacentral:rRNA from 1 species